AGGCAAGUCGAACGGUAGCACAGAGAAGCUUGCUCCUCGGGUGACGAGUGGCGGACGGGUGAGUAAUGUCUGGGAAACUGCCUGAUGGAGGGGGAUAACUACUGGAAACGGUAGCUAAUACCGCAUAACGUCGCAAGACCAAAGAGGGGGACCUUCGGGCCUCUUGCCAUCAGAUGUGCCCAGAUGGGAUUAGCUAGUAGGUGGGGUAACGGCUCACCUAGGCGACGAUCCCUAGCUGGUCUGAGAGGAUGACCAGCCACACUGGAACUGAGACACGGUCCAGACUCCUACGGGAGGCAGCAGUGGGGAAUAUUGCACAAUGGGCGCAAGCCUGAUGCAGCCAUGCCGCGUGUAUGAAGAAGGCCUUCGGGUUGUAAAGUACUUUCAGCGGGGAGGAAGGUGUUGUGGUUAAUAACCGCAGCAAUUGACGUUACCCGCAGAAGAAGCACCGGCUAACUCCGUGCCAGCAGCCGCGGUAAUACGGAGGGUGCAAGCGUUAAUCGGAAUUACUGGGCGUAAAGCGCACGCAGGCGGUCUGUCAAGUCGGAUGUGAAAUCCCCGGGCUCAACCUGGGAACUGCAUUCGAAACUGGCAGGCUAGAGUC
rnacentral:rRNA from 1 species